ACUACAGAACAAUCCCAGUUAUAAUCUUUUGGUUUCACAAAUCUAUCAGAAUUAGAACCAAAAAAAAUCCUUAUCUUCUUACCUGUGCGCUGAAUGGUCCGGCGUGGAAUCCAGUAUAACCUUCUUUCACAGUGUCAACGAGGCCGCCAGUUGAGGAAACUAUUGGCACCUGUUUCGAGCAUUUUAUUAUGUUCAAACAAUAAAAGUAUUGUCAUGGUCGAACAUUGAGAUCAAGAUAUGUAGUUAGGGAAUUACAUAUUUGACACAGAUACAUGAUUAAAAAAAGUCAUAUCAAGAUCAGACGACUCACUUUAUGACUUUGGUAAAUCAGGUCGUUCGAUUUUGAUCGAACAAUCGUGAUUGCAUGAAUGUAGGAAAUCCAAAUCUAAAAUGGAGGGAUAAAAAGGCACAUAAUAAACUCUACCGUUCCAUAUGGCAUGGCAUGCAACUGAACUAGACCACAUGGCUCAAAUCUACUUGGGAUCACUAUAAAGUCAGCUCCAGCAAUAAUUUUGUGAGCCAAGGGGCUGUUGAAUUUUGUUAUCCCUAUUGCCUUGUCAGGAUACAUUACCUCCAGCUGCUCAAUUGGCUUCUCCAUGAUCUUUUUGCCU
rnacentral:lncRNA from 1 species